rnacentral:rRNA from 1 species
CCUACGGGAGGCAGCAGUGAGGAAUAUUGGUCAAUGGCCGCAAGGCUGAACCAGCCAAGCCGCGUGAAGGACGAAGGUGCCAAGCAUUGUAAACUUCUUUUGUCAAGGGACAAAAUCAGGCUUGAGAGCCUGACCGAGGGUACUUGACGAAAAAGCAUCGGUAAACGCCAUUCCAGCCGCCGCGGUAAUAGGGGGGAUGCGAGCGUUAUCCGGAUUUAUGGGGUUUAAGGGGUGUGUCGGGGGACUGUUAAGUCGGCGGUAAAAGCCCGGGGCUCAACCCCGGCGAGCCGUUGAAACUGGCUGGCUUGAGAUGUCGAGAGGUAUGCGGAAUGCGCAGUGUAGCGGUGAAAUGCGUAGAUAUUGGGCAGAACACCGGUGGCGAAGGCAGCAUACCGGCGGCGAUCUGACGCUGAGGCACGAAAGCGUGGGUAGCGAACAGGAUUAGAUACCCCUGUAGUC